rnacentral:tRNA from 1 species
GGGUGAUUAGCUCAGCUGGGAGAGCAUCUGCCUUACAAGCAGAGGGUCGGCGGUUCGAUCCCGUCAUCACNCC